rnacentral:rRNA from 1 species
UGAAUACGAGACGCUAAGGCGUCGAAGUAGUGUAUAUCAGACUUCCAAGAAAAGCUUGCACUGUCAUAGAUAAAAAAUGCCUGUACCAUAACCGACACAGGUGGGUAGGUAGAGUAUACUAAGGGGCGCGAGAUAACUCUCUCUAAGGAACUCGGCAAAAUAACUCCGUAACUUCGGGAGAAGGAGUGCCUUAUUUAUAAGGUUGCAAUAACAAGAUCCAAGCAACUGUUUAUCAAAAACACAGGUCUCCGCUAAGUCGUAAGACGAUGUAUGGGGGCUGACGCCUGCCCAGUGCCAGAAGGUUAAAGAAGUUGGUUAGCAAUUGCGAAGCUGAUAACUGAAGCCCUGGUGAACGGCGGCCGUAGCUAUAACGGUCCUAAGGUAGCGAAAUUCCUUGUCGGGUAAGUUCCGACCCGCACGAAAGGCGUAAUGAUUUGGAUACUGUCUCGGAGAGGGGCUCGGUGAAAUAGACUUGUCUGUGAAGAUGCGGACUACCUGCACCAGGACAGAAAGACCCUAUGAAGCUUUACUGUAACUUGAAAUUGAAAUUGGACUUUAUUCGCGCAGCAUAGGUGGGAGGCGUUGAUUAUAAUCUUGCGGGAUUAUUGGAGCCAUCAGUGAGAUACCACUCUUGUAAUGUUAGAUUUCUAACUUUGAAUCAUUAUCUGGUCAAAGAACAGUUUCAGGCGGGCAGUUUGACUGGGGCGGUCGCCUCCUAAAUGGUAACGGAGGCGUACAAAGGUUUCCUCUGAACGGUUAGAAAUCGUAUCUAGAGUGUAAAGGCAUAAGGAAGCUUGACUGUGAGACCUACAAAUCGAGCAGGGACGAAAGUCGGUCUUAGUGAUCUGACGGUACUGAGUGGAAAGGCCGUCACUCAACGGAUAAAAGUUACUCUAAGGAUAACAGGCUGGUCUCCCCCAAGAGUUCACAUCGACGGGGAGGUUUGGCACCUCGAUGUCGGCUCAUCGCAUCCUGGGGCGGUAGUACGUCCCAAGGGUUGGGCUGUUCGCCCAUGAAAGCGGUACGCGAGCUGGGUUCAGAACGUCGUGAGACAGUUCGGUCCAUAUCCGGUGUAGGCGUUAGAAUAUUGAGAGGAGCCUUCUUUAGUACGAGAGGACCGAGAAGGACAUACCUCUGGUGUACCAGUUAUCGUGCCAACGGUAAACGCUGGGUAGCUAUGUAUGGAGUGGAUAACCGCUGAAAGCAUCUAAGUGGGAAGCCCACCUCAAGAUAAGUAUUCUCC